rnacentral:tRNA from 1 species
GGGGUUUUAGCUUAGUGGUAAAGUGCUUGCCUAGCAUGUAUGAGGCACUGGGUUCGAUUCUCAGCACCA